UCUCUCUCACCAAGGACUUUGCUCUAAUAAAAGUCUGCACUUCUCUAAUAGGUCCUAUCUGUAUUCACAGACAUCCAAAUAUAGCAGCAGGGGACAACUGGAAGCAGAGUGAACUGCAGAUGUCACCAUCAGGACUGAAACCAACUUGGACGAUGUUGCUGUGGUACUCUAAGACAGCCCUGCUCAUGCUCGCUGUAAAGACCAGGCUGGAACGAGAUGGGUAACAGUAGCUACAGUGGACCAAAUACUGAAAGAAAAAUCGGAAGUUCAAGCAUUCUCAUGUGAGUCGGCCACUGUGUGUGACUUCAGUGUGUG
rnacentral:lncRNA from 1 species